rnacentral:lncRNA from 1 species
CGCCCAUCACAAUCUAACAACUAUCCUUUCUUUCUAACAUUGAUACUAGGGAUAUAUAUUAAGCUGUUACAUCCUACUUCCUCACUUGACAUUCUGGGUUCCUCUUAUGUGCACACUUUGUAUUAUCUGUUGAUGAUAGUCUCCUUCUAUUUCUCUGUUUGUGCUGAAAUAUUUUUGUAGUUUCGUUCCUUUCAUAAACAAUAUAUGGUCCUGCCAGUGUCAUUCUAUAUUCCCGUGUUACAUUGUUUUUGCUCUUUAUAUGUGCUAAUGUCCAUUGUACUUCAUC